ACUCCUACGGGAGGCAGCAGUGGGGAAUAUUGCACAAUGGGCGAAAGCCUGAUGCAGCAACGCCGCGUGAGCGAUGAAGGCCUUCGGGUCGUAAAGCUCUGUCCUAUGGGAAGAGUAAUGAACGGCCAUAGGUAGGAAGCCCCGGCUAACUACGUAGCCAGCAGCCGGCGUAAUACGUAGGGGGCAAGCGUUAUCCGGAAUUACUGGGCGUAAAGGGUGCGUAGGCGGUUUAUC
rnacentral:rRNA from 1 species